rnacentral:rRNA from 1 species
AACAGAUAAACAGCCUGAAUGCGCCUGAUCUCAUCUGAUCUUGGAAGCUAAGCAGUGUUGGGCCUGGUUAGUAUUUGGAUGAGUAACAGAGGGUGAAUUUGAUC